UGGAGAGUUUGAUCCUGGCUCAGAAUGAACGCUGGCGGCGUGCCUAACACAUGCAAGUCGAACGCGAAAGCCCUGCUUGCAGGGUGAGUAGAGUGGCGAACGGGUGAGUAACGCGUGGGUAACCUACCCUCCAGUUGGGGAUAAUCCCGCGAAAGUGGGUCUAAUACCGGAUGACAUCGCCUCUCCUCGGAGGGGUGAUCAAAGAUGGCCUCUGGUACAAGCUAUCGCUGGGGGAGGGGCUCGCGUCCUAUUAGCUUGUUGGUGGGGUAACGGCCCACCAAGGCGACGAUGGGUAGCCGGCCUGAGAGGGUGUCCGGCCACACUGGAACUGAGACACGGUCCAGACUCCUACGGGAGGCAGCAGUGGGGAAUUUUGCGCAAUGGGCGAAAGCCUGACGCAGCGACGCCGCGUGGAUGAUGAAGGCCUUCGGGUCGUAAAGUCCUGUCGGGUGGGAAGAAAAGUAUGAGUUCGAAUAAAGCUCAUGCUUGACGGUACCACCCAAGGAAGCCCCGGCCAACUCCGUGCCAGCAGCCGCGGUAAUACGGGGGGGGCAAGCGUUAUUCGGAAUCACUGGGCGUAAAGGGCGUCUAGGCGGUCGGGUAAGUCGUGGGUGAAAGCCCCCGGCUCAACCGGGGAAGUGCCUGCGAAACUAUCCGACUUGAGGUCGGGAGAGGAAAGUGGAAUUCCCAGUGUAGCGGUGAAAUGCGCAGAUAUUGGGAGGAACACCAGUGGCGAAGGCGGCUUUCUGGACCGACCCUGACGCUGAAGCGCGAAAGCUAGGGGAGCGAACGGGAUUAGAUACCCCGGUAGUCCUAGCCGUAAACGAUGGGCACUUGGUGUAGCAGGAUUUAAAACCUGCUGUGCCGAAGCUAACGCAUUAAGUGCCCCGCCUGGGGAGUACGGCCGCAAGGCUGAAACUCAAAGGAAUUGACGGGGGCCCGCACAAGCGGUGGAGCAUGUGGUUUAAUUCGAUGCAACGCGAAGAACCUUACCGGGGCUUGAAGUGUGGUUGACAGGAUGAGAAAUUAUCCCUUCUCUUCGGAGACAACUGCACAGGUGCUGCAUGGCUGUCGUCAGCUCGUGUCGUGAGAUGUUGGGUUAAGUCCCGCAACGAGCGCAACCCUUGCCCUUAGUUGCCACCGGGUAAUGCCGAGCACUCUAAGGGGACUGCCGGUGAUAAACCGGAGGAAGGUGGGGAUGACGUCAAGUCCUCAUGGCCCUUAUGUCCCGGGCUACACACGUGCUACAAUGGCCUGUACAACGGGUUGCAAAGCCGUGAGGUGGAGCUAAUCCCAAAAAGCAGGUCUCAGUUCGGAUUGUAGUCUGCAACUCGACUACAUGAAGGUGGAAUCGCUAGUAAUCGCGGAUCAGCAUGCCGCGGUGAAUACGUUCUCGGGCCUUGUACACACCGCCCGUCACAUCACGAAAGUUGGUUGCACCCGAAGUCGCCAAGCUAACCCCGUUUCGGCGGGGAGGCAGGUGCCCAAGGUGUGAUUAAUGAUUGGGGUGAAGUCGUAACAAGGUAGCCGUAGGAGAACCUGCGGCUGGAUCACCUCCUUUCUA
rnacentral:rRNA from 1 species